rnacentral:rRNA from 1 species
UAGGGAAUCUUCCGCAAUGGGCGAAAGCCUGACGGAGCAACGCCGCGUGAGUGAUGAAGGUCUUCGGAUCGUAAAACUCUGUUAUUAGGGAAGAACAAAUGUGUAAGUAACUAUGCACGUCUUGACGGUACCUAAUCAGAAAGCCACGGCUAACUACGUGCCAGCAGCCGCGGUAAUACGUAGGUGGCAAGCGUUAUCCGGAAUUAUUGGGCGUAAAGCGCGCGUAGGCAGUUUUUUAAGUCUGAUGUGAAAGCCCACGGCUCAACCGUGGAGGGUGAUUGGAAACUGGAAAACUUGAGUGCAGAAGAGGAAAGUGGAAUUCCAUGUGUAGCGGUGAAAUGCGCAGAGAUAUGGAGGAACACCAGUGGCGAAGGCGACUUUCUGGUCUGUAACUGACGCUGAUGUGCGAAAGCGUGGGGAUCAAACAGG